rnacentral:rRNA from 1 species
UACGAAGGGGGCUAGCGUUGUUCGGAAUGACUGGGCGUAAAGGGUGUGUAGGCGGUUAUACGCGUCAGAUGUGAAAUCCCCGGGCUUAACCUGGGAAUGGCAUUUGAUACGGUGUAGCUAGAGAUUGGUAGAGGGUAGAGGAAUUGCGAGUGUAGAGGUGAAAUUCGUAGAGAUUCGCAGGAACAUCGGUGGCGAAGGCGGCUACCUGGGCCAAUACUGACGCUGAGGCACGAGAGCGUGGGGAGCAAACAGG